rnacentral:rRNA from 1 species
UACGUAGGGUGCAAGCGUUAAUCGGAAUUACUGGGCGUAAAGCGUGCGCAGGCGGCUUUGCAAGACAGAUGUGAAAUCCCCGGGCUCAACCUGGGAACUGCAUUUGUGACUGCAUGGCUGGAGUGCGGCAGAGGGGGAUGGAAUUCCGCGUGUAGCAGUGAAAUGCGUAGAGAUGUGGAGGAACACCGAUGGCGAAGGCAGCCUCCUGGGCCAGCACUGACGCUCAUGCACGAAAGCGUGGGGAGCAAACAGG